rnacentral:rRNA from 1 species
UUGCUGUUUCGCUGACGAGUGGCGGACGGGUGAGUAAUGUCUGGGAAACUGCCUGAUGGAGGGGGAUAACUACUGGAAACGGUAGCUAAUACCGCAUAACGUCGCAAGACCAAAGAGGGGGACCUUCGGGCCUCUUGCCAUCGGAUGUGCCCAGAUGGGAUUAGCUAGUAGGUGGGGUAACGGCUCACCUAGGCGACGAUCCCUAGCUGGUCUGAGAGGAUGACCAGCCACACUGGAACUGAGACACGGUCCAGACUCCUACGGGAGGCAGCAGUGGGGAAUAUUGCACAAUGGGCGCAAGCCUGAUGCAGCCAUGCCGCGUGUAUGAAGAAGGCCUUCGGGUUGUAAAGUACUUUCAGCGGGGAGGAAGGGAGUAAAGUUAAUACCUUUGCUCAUUGACGUUACCCGCAGAAGAAGCACCGGCUAACUCCGUGCCAGCAGCCGCGGUAAUACGGAGGGUGCAAGCGUUAAUCGGAAUUACUGGGCGUAGAGCGCACGCAGGCGGUUUGUUAAGUCAGAUGUGAAAUCCCCGGGCUCAACCUGGGAACUGCAUCUGAUACUGGCAAGCUUGAGUCUCGUAGAGGGGGGUAGAAUUCCAUGUGUAGC